rnacentral:rRNA from 1 species
GAUGAACGCUAGCUACAGGCUUAACACAUGCAAGUCGAGGGGAAACGACAUCGAAAGCUUGCUUUUGAUGGGCGUCGACCGGCGCACGGGUGAGUAACGCGUAUCCAACCUGCCCAUCACUUGGGGAUAACCUUGCGAAAGUAAGACUAAUACCCAAUGAUAUCUCUGGAAGACAUCUGAAAGAGAUUAAAGAUUUAUCGGUGAUGGAUGGGGAUGCGUCUGAUUAGCUUGUUGGCGGGGUAACGGCCCACCAAGGCAACGAUCAGUAGGGGUUCUGAGAGGAAGGUCCCCCACAUUGGAACUGAGACACGGUCCAAACUCCUACGGGAGGCAGCAGUGAGGAAUAUUGGUCAAUGGGCGAGAGCCUGAACCAGCCAAGUAGCGUGCAGGAAGACGGCCCUAUGGGUUGUAAACUGCUUUUAUAAGGGAAUAAAGUGAGAGUCGUGACUCUUUUUGUAUGUACCUGAUGAAUAAGGACCGGCUAAUUCCGUG